rnacentral:rRNA from 1 species
GUAGGGCGCAAGCGUUGUCCGGAAUUAUUGGGCGUAAAGAGCUCGUAGGCGGUCUGUUGCGUCCGUCGUGAAAGCCCACAGCUUAACUGUGGGUCUGCGGUGGAUACGGGCAGACUAGAGGCAGGUAGGGGAGAACGGAAUUCCCGGUGUAGCGGUGAAAUGCGCAGAUAUCGGGAGGAACACCGGUGGCGAAGGCGGUUCUCUGGGCCUGUACUGACGCUGAGGAGCGAAAGCGUGGGGAGCGAACAGGAUUAGAUACCCUGGUAGUCCACGCCGUAAACGUUGGGCGCUAGGUGUGGGGUUCUUCCACGGAUUCCGCGCCGUAGCUAACGCAUUAAGCGCCCCGCCUGGGGAGUACGGCCGCAAGGCUAAA